rnacentral:lncRNA from 1 species
AUGAAAUUACUGCUGACCUUCCACAGGUGUGCAAGCUGGCUGUGGUAUGGCUGUGCUUAUCAGGUUUCCCCAAGUGUGGCAGUGCAGCUUGAUAAACUGGGGAAGCUCAUUAUGUUCAACAGCUGGGCUCUUGCAUAUGCACUUCUACUUUCUCAAAUGACUGAGAUUAAACACUGCUAUGCUGUUGCUUCUAGACUUGCAUGUUUUUGCUAUCCUACCUGUGUCAAUGUUAGUGGCUUUUUGGAGUCAAAUAGGUGGGGUGUGGGACAGGAUGCCUUGCUGAUACCUGGAGCGGUGGUGUUCUGCAGGAAGGACAGGAGGAACACAGCUGCUCCAAGACAUGCUUUUGGCACAGCAAAGGUUUAUUCUGCAGCUCCUCAGUGUGACAUCUGGAAACCUACCAGGUUAAAUGGAUAG